rnacentral:lncRNA from 1 species
UUUCUCACUGGAUUAUUAUUAUUAUUUUUUUUUCCCAAAUCUUUAAGCGGAGGAUGCAUAAAAUAAACCCAGAAACCUACAAACUUCUCAGAUUUUCAGAGUACAAGCGUGACAACAAUUUUCUUCCAAGUGCUAAAUUUGAAAAUAAAGAAACUAGUGAAGUGGUUUGAUCCAUGAAGCAUUUAAACAACCCGUGAAUUGUAGGAAGAACAAUCUUCAGUUCCUCAGCACUACCUGCUCAGAAUGAGGAACAUCUGGAGGCAAGGCACUCCACCUGGUGUGUCAGUAAUACCUAGGUGGCCUGUUAUGGAGACAGCAAUUGGCCAGCCAGGGUA